rnacentral:lncRNA from 1 species
CCCCACCUGGUUCCCUGGACCCUCCUACUCCCCCAGUGCCUCCAAACCUUGCCAUGCUGACCCUGAUUCUCCCUUUGCACCAGCCCUCCCCACCCCACACACAGAUUCCACCCUCUUCCCUCCACCCCUAGUCUUUGACCCCACACUCCUUCCGGCACCCGGGGCCCUGCCCUGCCCCACCCCCAUUCUGCCCUCCUGCCCCUGGACCACCCAGCAGCCCUGGCUCAGGAGACGUGGCCAAUUGCAAAUGUCACCUGGGCUGGAGCUUAGAAGGCUGUAAGUGAGAUAAAUGAUCCAUUUGGACAGGUGAAGAUGGGUCCCGCGCCAGAUGAAGAUGAGCUGAUAAAGUUCCCACAACAUCAAGGACAGACUCCAUGUCCCCUCCCCAGGCAAGCUGUGCUCUCAGGGGCUGGGGCUCCUCCACAGCAUAGGACAAAUCCUCAGGCAUCUGCAGCCAAGGAUCCCCACUCCCAGACAGCCUUUGAGUCUCUCUGCUCAGUCCCUUCAGUGGCUGCUAUGGGCUGGUGGGGGCAGGAGCCCUGCCGGGCUGGGCUGAGGGGCAACUGACUGCUAUGGUCUGAGUCAUGCCCUUGUCGUGCUUGUAGCCACACGUGUGCACAUGCUGAGCCCAUGACUAACCUGCGCUAGGCUCUCGUGUAGACAUAGGCCUAGGCACGGAGACACGCACAACACACACAAAAGUAUACAAACCCUCAACCCUUCCUUGUUCUAUGAUUUAACUUGUACAUAAUAAUGAGCAGACAUUAACACAAUACACAGGUUCACAAGCAGAUCCAGAUACAAACUAUACUGAUAUCACAUACACAUAUUGUUGUGCACUGAAUGUUUGUGCCCCCCCCAAAUUCAUAUGUCAAAGCCCUAAGCGCCCCCCCCCCCCCCCCCGCCCCACACACACCAUGUGAUGGGAUAGGGAGGUGGGGCCUUUGGGAGGUAAUUAGGGUUAGAUGAGGUCUCAAGGAGGGGUUACCGUGAUGGGGUUAGUGCCCUUAUGAGAAGAGGAAGAGAGAAGAGAGCUCUCUCUCUCUGUCCCCCUCUCUCUCUCUCUGUCCCUCUCUCUGUCCCCCUCUCUCUCUCUGUCCCUCUCUCUCUCUCUCUUUCCCUCUCUCUCUCUGUCCCUCUCUCUCUCUCUCUCUCCUAUGUCAAGACACAGUGAGUAGGUGGCCCUGUGCAAGGCAGGAAGAGGGCCCUCACCAGGAGCCAAACCUGCCAGCACCUUGACCUUGGACUUCUCAGCCUCCAGAACUGUGAGGAAAUAAAUGUGUGUUGUUGAAGCCCCACACCUGUGGUACUUUGUCAGAGCAGCCCGAGCAACCUAAUACAGAUGCGAGCUAGGAAUUAUACUGAUUAGCCCUGAGCUAACGUCUGCCGUCAAUCCUCCUCUUUUUGCUGAAGAAAACUGGCCCUGAGCUAACAUCCAUGCCCAUCUUCCUCCACUUUAUAUGUGGGACUCCUGCCACAGCAUGGCAUGACAACCAGGGAGUACAUCCGCACCUGGGAUCCAAACCGGCAAACCCUGGGCUGCUGAAGCAGAACAUGUCAACUUAACCACUGUGCCACUAGGCUGGCCCCCAAAAUUAUUUUAUUCUCAGUACAAAGUCGCUUCUCAGAUUAAUGCAGCUAUGUGUUUUUAGUUAAUAAUGAGAUAAUUUAAUGGUAUAUUUGGACAUGAUCUCUACGUGUAACCCCCACAGCCAGAUUCUCUCCUCUGCCAGUUAGUGGGGUUUGGGGCCUGUUCUGGUUGCACAGGCCCCGCCUCUCCUGAGCUCCCAUGUCCAUCCCUCCUGAAGCCCCUGGUGCCCAUCAGAGCUAUCCUGAGGAUAUUCUGGAGUCCAUCCGCCAUGGAGCAGCCUGGCAGACAUGUCACACUCCCUCGGCCCUGGACCAGUACCCUGGCUGACUCCCCCAGAAGGAAAAUGAAGGUCCUCCUGACAGGCUUGGACCUAAACCAGUUCAAAGGCUGCUCAGCCAUCCGAUUCUGCAGCUCCCAAGUCUUCUGGGCCCUUCAGGGGUCCCGGCAGCGCUCCUGGACUCUGCUUGCCCCCCUGACCAGGCAGAAUUCACUCCCGGGCCUACGUCUUCGAUGACACCAGAUCCUGUGGCUAGACAAGAAGGAGAGUAACCAUCAAAUCAUGACAAACACACGAGGUGUGCCUCCUGCCAAGGCCCUGCCGGCGAUUACACACCCGGACCCGCCUUGGGAAAGCAUCCUAAGGUCCCGGUCCACCAGCAGCCUGGAGGCAGGGCGGGAGCACGAGAUGGGAUCUCUCGCGGGCUGUGAGAAAUUCUCAGAGGAAAAUAAUCAAAAAGAAAACAGAAGAGAGGACUCAAAGGGCUCCAGCUGGGGUGAGGAGCUUUAUGGUAUUUGCCUGGUUUAUUGGCUCCUCGGAAGAGGAUAUGAGGGCCCAAGCCGUCCUCUGGAGGGAAUGCCCGCCCAGCCACUCCUGUGGACACUGGCCCUGGCCAAGUGGCUCUGGACACAGCUGUGUUGUUGACAACCCUACUUCACAGGCACAAGAGGCUGGUUCCUGACACGGCCUUACAGUCUUCCGUGGCCCCUGUGAGCAGCAUUCCUAGGACAGAAAGACAGAGUCACACUCAGAGGCACUGCCACCCCGGGGAGCCACCCCAGCCAUCCCAGGCCCCUCUGCCUCUCCAAACGGGGCCGAGCUGGGCUCCCCUGAGGCUCAGCCCUGAAGGGGGCCCCCCUAGCGUGCUCAGCAAAGCAGAAGAUACAUGAGCUGUGUCUGGAGAACAGCAGUCAGCAAACCACAGCCGGCGGGCCACACCCACUGUUUCUGCGAAUAAAGUUUUAU